rnacentral:rRNA from 1 species
UACGAAGGGGGCUAGCGUUGUUCGGAAUCACUGGGCGUAAAGCGCACGUAGGCGGCUUGUUAAGUCAGAGGUGAAAGCCUGGAGCUCAACUCCAGAACUGCCUUUGAUACUGGCAAGCUCGAGGAUAGCAGAGGUUGGUGGAACUCCGAGUGUAGAGGUGAAAUUCGUAGAUAUUCGGAAGAACACCAGUGGCGAAGGCGGCCAACUGGGCUAUUACUGACGCUGAGGUGAGAAAGCGUGGGGAGCAAACAGG